rnacentral:rRNA from 1 species
GACUACCGGGGUAUCUAAUCCUGUUUGCUCCCCACGCUUUCGUGCAUCAGCGUCAGUGUCAGUCCAGAAAGCCGCCUUCGCCACUGGUGUUCCUCCUAAUAUCUACGCAUUUCACCGCUACACUAGGAAUUCCGCUUCCCUCUCCUGAACUCUAGCUCUCCAGUUUUGAAUGCACCCCCCAAGUUAAGCCCGGGUAUUUCACAUCCAACUUAAAAAGCCGCCUACGCACCCUUUACGCCCAGUAAUUCCGGACAACGCUCGCCCCCUACGUAUUACCGCGGCUGCUGGCACGUAGUUAGCCGGGGCUUCCUCACAAGGUACCGUCACUUCUUCGUCCCUUGCGACAGAGGUUUACAAUCCGAAAACCUUCUUCCCUCACGCGGCGUUGCUGGGUCAGGCUUGCGCCCAUUGCCCAAUAUUCCCCACUGCAGCCACCCGUAGG